GUUGGUCCUCCUUUCUGUCAAGGAACCAUUAUUACAAAUAGCUUUCCUAUUUUAUUUUCUUUGUUCUCAGUGUUAUGCAAUUAUGUUAGAGAACCUUGCUACUAAAUUAAUUUCUUUUUCACUGAUUUCAAAAUUUUAUUUUAUGCAACUCCAGAAUGAUUUUAGCAAAAAUCAUGUUGCUUGACUUGUUGGCAAGACUCUUGUAUUGAGAUUCAAUGGUUUUACCAUGACCAUGCUUAUGUCAAUUAGUUCUAAAUCUAUUGUCAAUUGCUUGAACUUUUUGCUGGUUGCAUUGAUUUUCUUAUUCCCCUUCCCUUUCCUGAUAACCCAAGCUUGCAAAAAAUAUUUAUCGCCUGAUUUCUGAUAUCUCGCAGCUUCACAAUUUCGUAAAAUCUUUUCUUAUACUGCAGUGAAGUUAUGAAAUUGAUGUUCCUUAAACUGCUCUACCAUGAGUAUCCUCUGUUGUAAAUUGAAUUUACAGAGCAAGGUAGCCUGACUUUGCAUCAGCUAACUUUGUUGUUGAAAACACUUUUAGACUGAUAUCCUGCCAUCAGUAUGUUAUGCUACUAAUUCUGUGUACUCCAUAUAUUUUGCUUGCUUUUAAUUUUCUGUUUCAAGAAUAUGGUAACUUCACUGUUUUGGAUUUUUAUUGAAGUUUCUUCUCUCUCCUUUUUUGUCAUGUAUACCUGCUCAGGUGCAUGCCAGAUGCUGUGGUGGAGUGCUUUGGUUAUGCAACUUAUGCCGUCCUGGAGCACCUGUAUCUCCUCUAUGCUGCCUUUUUCCUGUAGUAGGAGAUGACUGUUGGGCUCAUUUGGCUUGCGCCAUAUGGAUUCCAGUGCUCCGACUUUAAUUGCCGUGUGUCAUUCCAUCCCCUGUGUGCACGUGCUGCCGGCUUUUGCCUUGAGCCUGAGGAUAUGGAUAGAGUCCAUGCAGCUCUUCUUGAUGAGGAUGAGGAGGAUCAGUCCAUUCAGCUAAUCAAAUAGAAUUAGAUAAUGCAUUGUAGAGCGAGUAAUAUCUCUAGGAUUUCAUUUAACAGAAAUAUAGCCUUUAUUAUUACUGAAGAAACCUAGAGUAUUAGAGCAUCCACAACGGCGAGCUGCAGCUCGUCCGUCAGUCCGUGCCAGCGGCACGGAGACGCUGUCCGCCGCUGCACUCGUGCCGCUGGCACGGCGCUGCUCGAUGCAUCGAGCACGUCCG